rnacentral:rRNA from 12 species
GCGAGUGCCCGAUAGCGUCUGAUCUCAGAAGCUAAGCAGGCCAAUACCUGGUUAAUACUUGGAUCGGAGACCAACUUGGAAGAUCAAGGGCCGCU